rnacentral:tRNA from 1 species
UAGCUCAGUGGUAGAGUACUUGCCUAGCAUGCAUGAGGCCUUGGGUUUGAAUUCCCAG